GGGACAACAGUUGGAAACGACUGCUAAUACCGCAUAAGCCCACGACCCGGCAUCGGGUUGAGGGAAAAGGAGCAAUCCGCUUUGAGAUGGCCUCGCGUCCGAUUAGCUAGUUGGUGAGGUAACGGCCCACCAAGGCGACGAUCGGUAGCCGGACUGAGAGGUUGAACGGCCACAUUGGGACUGAGACACGGCCCAGACUCCUACGGGAGGCAGCAGUGGGGAAUAUUGCACAAUGGGGGAAACCCUGAUGCAGCGACGCCGCGUGGAGGAAGAAGGUCUUCGGAUUGUAAACUCCUGUUGUUGAGGAAGAUAAUGACGGUACUCAACAAGGAAGUGACGGCUAACUACGUGCCAGCAGCCGCGGUAAAACGUAGGUCACAAGCGUUGUCCGGAAUUACUGGGUGUAAAGGGAGCGCAGGCGGGAAGACAAGUUGGAAGUGAAAUCCAUGGGCUCAACCCAUGAACUGCUUUCAAAACUGUUUUUCUUGAGUAGUGCAGAGGUAGGCGGAAUUCCCGGUGUAGCGGUGGAAUGCGUAGAUAUCGGGAGGAACACCAGUGGCGAAGGCGGCCUACUGGGCACCAACUGACGCUGAGGCUCGAAAGUGUGGGUAGCAAACAGGAUUAGAUACCCUGGUAGUCCACACCGUAAACGAUGAUUACUAGGUGUUGGAGGAUUGACCCCUUCAGUGCCGCAG
rnacentral:rRNA from 1 species